ACUGUGAGAGAAUAAACUUCUCUUUGUUAAAGCCAUCCACUUGUGGUAUUUCUGUUAUAGCAGCACUAGAUGACUAAGACAGUAGUCUCGAACCUCCAACCCUUAGGUCAGCAGCUUAGCAUGUUAAGUAUUUGCACCACCCAGGGACUCCAACAAUACAAGCUAAUGUUUACUGAGUACUUACUACCUGCCAGCUACUGGUAUCUAAGUGCUUAACUUGUACUAUCUCAUCUAAUUCUUAAAACAAUCCUAAGACAUACCAAAAUAAUUAGAAAUGGAGUGAUGGGAUGUCUGGGGUUUGUCUACCAGCAAACCACCGGGGUUGAGGGCAGUGAGCGAGGGUGCUGACGAAACAAGAUAUGACCCAGUUGGGCAUUUUGAAGCUGGGAGAGGAGUACCCAUCAUUCAUCAUACUAGUUUCUCUGUUUUGUGUAUGUUUAAAUUUUUUUUACCAUGAAAUGUUUAAAAGCCAACAAUCUUAUGAGGUAUGCGCUGUUAUCCCUGUUUCACAGACCGGGAAAUUGAAGCGUGGCACAUGGAAGAUUACCCAACCAGAGCCAGAGUCUGCUUGCUGCACUCAUGCAUGGUGGGGCUUAGCAACCAAGCUGGCGAAACAGAGGCCCCACGGGCUCUGCGGGCCUCCUGGGGUUUCCUUAGCACAGGUUCUCUCCUGCCAGAGCUGCUGAGGGCCUGAGGCUCCUACGUCCGCCCAGCCAUUGCUGGCAUUCUCCCCGCCUCACCCACCUUGGCCUCUCCCUAUCCCAGCAGAGCUGGGCUUGCUGGUAGUGGGGAGGUGUUGGGGGUUAAAAACGAAAGACAUCUCCCUUCUCCCUAAAGGCAGGUGAUUCUUGGUUACUCUGAGCUUCCUGAUGUUGGGAGGAAGUUCUUUCACUCGAUUAUUUCGGUGUGAUAAAAUCUGUGGGGAUGUGGCAUCACCUUGGUUCUUAUUUUGUGACCCUUCAAAAAUGUAGGACUCAAAUGAGGGUGUGUGUACAUGUGCACCACUUUCUCACUCGCCUCCCGGAAUGCAUAGAAGUAAGAUGUAGACCUGAAUGUGAAGCUUAGCCCCUUAACUGGCUGUGUGGCUGUGGGUUAUUGAGCUGCUGAAGGACCAGGGAUGAAGAUUCCCAUCUUAAAAACACAACAAAAAAGACAUAACGAGCCCAGCAGAAGACUUCGAGUGCCGGGUGAACUUAUCAACCCUGCAUCUUUGAUCUCGAGAGGAUGUCGCCUUUCAUGCCUCUUUCUGCAGAGUCCAUUAUUACGGGGGAGCCAGCGGUAACGGGUGCGCUGCGCCUCGGAGCCCAGGAUCUAUUAUGUAACAGAGCCCAGAUCCCAGCACCACCUGGGGCAUGCUGCCACGUGGGGAAGGGGGCCCUAGAGGUUCCUGGCUCACAUGCCGCCAGGUGCCUCAGGAUGAAAUGAAGCCAUGCUCUUUGGGGAAGAAAUAACGAAUGCACAUCUGCUAGGUGGGGGCACUGAAUGGUGUUAGUCUUGAACUGUACAGUUAUUGUCUUUAUGCAACUCCAGAAUGGCUUCUUGGAUAUCACUCCCUAGGCUCCUGAAAUGGAACCCUGUGUAAAGAAAUGAAGAAACGCUAUCAGGGCAUCUGCAGCCGCUAUUAUACCAUCUGGUGGCUCAGAAAUAUUUUAUAAUCAAAUGAGUAAGACAGGCUUCUCACACGCCACACAGCCACGGUUCUUCUUUCUCUCCUCCUUGUAUGCACACACAUUCUCUCUCUGCUACCUUACAGAAACACCAGGGAAGGGAGUGGAGCAAUUGUCCUCUCCAUUUCGGCCACUUGGCUAAGUGGCCUAGGGCAGAUUGCUCCAGUUCUCUUAUUCUUGGUUUAUUCAUUUGCAAACUGGAGGUAAUACAACACAGUGCUAUUGUGUGGAUCGAAAUGAGAUUGCUGUAUGAGUGAGUUCUACUAGGAUGCUGUUAUUUCAGUCUUAGGAAGACUUUUUAAAAAUUGUAUAAUUUUUUCUGAAUAUAAAUGCAAUGCAUAUUGUAGAAAAAUUUGAAAAUAUAAAGAAACUAGAAAACAAGUUAAUGUGUGACACCCCCCAGCCCCCCAAAGGACAACCACUGAGAACAUUUUGCUGUAUUCUGGAAGAUUUCCUAAGAAGCUGGAGCACACAGAUGGUCUGUGUAUCCAAACCAUGAGAGAAGAUUGUGGAAACAAAUGGAAAAGUAAUAUAUACUCAUUAGAAUGUUUUGAAAAUACCAAAUGAUAAGAAGGAGACACACAAAAAAAUGACAUCUUGUUGCAGCUGCCCAAGUGACCUCUGUUCUGGGUUAGUGUUCAGAAGAAAGCCCUCUGUCUACUACCAUCAACACCGCAGUGAGUUGGUUAACUGAAAAAGAUUAAAGAGGGAUGAUAAAAAUGAUAUAGACCCACCUUGAAUAUUUUACUUGAACAUGAAACGUUUUAUUUUUAUGUGAAACAUGCAUACAUUUCUCUGUCUCUUGAUUUGGGGCCAAGGUCUUUCUUGGAUUAUGGGUCCACUGUCUGAUGUUGCGUGUUAUCUUUCUUGCAUUAUCCAUACAUUUUGUGCAUCUUCUGGAAUUUUCAGUAUCUCUUUCUAUCAAACUGAGUGCAGAAUACUUGCAGAUUUUCAGAUACCUCCCCUCAAUGUUAUAGUUAUUCUGUCCAGGCCUCAUACAACAGUGAAUCUUCCCACACAUGCAACUCUGUUAUCAUAGAAACAAACUCCUUUUGAGCUUCUAUUUCAUGGUUUGCAUACAAUUUAAAUUGCAUAAUUACAAAAACAAGUACAACUGGUAUAAGCAGGUUUGGGAACAAAAACAACUGCAUCUUAAUGAGCCCGGAGAGCUCUGAGAGAGCUAGGCGGAGGGUCCAGCAGGCCUUGUGCUUCCCAGAUGGGAUGGAGCACGUGGGAUAAUCCCGAGGCAGUGGAGCUGAGGGCGUUUAAUAAAGCUGUGAAUUUUUUCUUCUUACGUUUUUCUAUCUGUGCUCAUUUUCAUAUACAAAAAAUUCUGUGUGCUUGCCCCCUCUUAACUACUUAGGGAAGUCUUAUAAUGUUAUUAGCUUUAAGCUGAACUUUUAAAACUUACAGAAGCAACAGCUAACAUCAUACUUCAUGGUGAGAGACUGAAUUCUUUCCCCCCUAAAAUCAGAAACAAAUCAAGGGUGUCUGCCCUUGUCACUUCUAUUCAGUAUUGUACGGGUGCUACUAACUAGGGCAAUUAGGCAAGAAAAUGAAAUAAAAGACAUCCA